UAGUUUGGCUACCCAAUCAAAGUGACUCAACUAGAAUUAGAAUCAAAGGAUAACAGAAGUUAAACCUAAGCGUACGACAAACUUAGCCAUAAAUUACUAACCUAAUUCUCUGGUGCAUAGUCAAUCAGGCAAGCAACUGUGCAGAAAAUGUUGAAAAAUAGAGAAGGUAUCCUGCUUUGAUUUGACCUGAUUAGAGAGCUGUACUCUCCAGAAGUGGCUGCUCAAAUUUUAGCUAUCCCUAUCUCAAGCUGUGGAGUUACUGAUAAGCUGCUAUGGCCUCAUACAACACAACUUAGUAUGCACAAGCCUAUGAUGCACAACAUGUUGAUUAGAGUAACUACUGGAGAGUCCCAAGGCGAGUGUGUCCAGUCGUGGAGGGAUGGCAAGUGUUGCUGACAAUUGAGGGGCACUGGCAGAGCAGAUGCAAAUGGGGUUGUUUUGCCUAUGUAGCUAAAUAAUGGGCUGGCAGAUAAUUUUUCAGGCUGUUUCAGUAAUACCGUAUGCAAACGAGUGGAAGCUUACUGUUUGAGAAGCAUAUUUUCCAGGCUUGUUUCUGAGUGUUAGGAAUCUGAGCUUGUAUAUAUAUGU